GGCGGGGGGUGCUAGGUAAACCACGGCUCGCUGUAAAACCGUCGGCUCAGCCUACGCAGGUUCAAGUCCUGCACCUGCCA
rnacentral:tRNA from 1 species